GACGAACGCUGGCGGCGUGCCUAAUACAUGCAAGUCGAACGCAGGGGGGACGGGUGAGGAACAAGUGGGUAACCUCCCAUCAGAGGGGAUAACACUUGGAAACAGGUGCUAAACCGAUACUGAUGGAUGGACCCGCGGGGCAUUAGCGAGUUGGGGGGGUAAAGGCCUACCAAGGCCACGAGGCAUAGCCGACUUGAGAGGUGGAUCGGCCACACUGGGACGGGGACACGGCCCAGACUCCUACGGGAGGCAGCAGUAGGGAAUCUUCGGCAAUGGACGAAAGUCGGACCGAGCAACGCCGCGUGAGUGAAGAAGGUUUUCGGAUCGUAAACCUCUGUUGUUAGAGAAGCGGUAUCUAACCAGAAAGCCACGGCUAACUACGUGCCAGCAGCCGCGGUAAUAC
rnacentral:rRNA from 1 species